rnacentral:rRNA from 1 species
UGAGUAACACGUGGGUGANCUGCCCUGCACUCUGGGAUAAGCCUGGGAAACUGGGUCNAAUACCGGAUAGGACCACACANUUCAUGGUGAGUGGUGCAAAGCNNUUUUGCGGUGUGGGAUGAGCCCGCGGCCUAUCAGCUUGUUGGUGGGGUAAUGGCCCACCAAGGCGACGACGGGUAGCCGGCCUGAGAGGGUGACCGGCCACACUGGGACUGAGAUACGGCCCAGACUCCUACGGGAGGCAGCAGUGGGGAAUAUUGCACAAUGGGCGCAAGCCUGAUGCAGCGACGCCGCGUGAGGGAUGACGGCCUUCGGGUUGUAAACCUCUUUCAGUAGGGACGAAGCGAAAGUGACGGUACCUACAGAAGAAGGACCGGCCAACUACGUGCCAGCAGCCGCGGUAAUACGUAGGGUCCGAGCGUUGUCCGGAAUUACUGGGCGUAAAGAGCUCGUAGGUGGUUUGUCGCGUUGUUCGUGAAAACUCACAGCUUAACUGUGGGCGUGCGGGCGAUACGGGCAGACUAGAGUACUGCAGGGGAGACUGGAAUUCCUGGUGUAGCGGUGGAAUGCGCAGAUAUCAGGAGGAACACCGGUGGCGAAGGCGGGUCUCUGGGCAGUAACUGACGCUGAGGAGCGAAAGCGUGGGUAGCGAACAGGAUUAGAUACCCUGGUAGUCCACGCCGUAAACGGUGGGUACUAGGUGUGGGUUUCCUUCCUUGGGAUCCGUGCCGUAGCUAACGCAUUAAGUACCCCGCCUGGGGAGUACGGUCGCAAGACUAAAACUCAAAGGAAUUGACGGGGGCCCGCACAA